rnacentral:rRNA from 1 species
AGAGUUUGAUUCUGGCUCAGGACGAACGCUGGCGGCGUGCUUAACACAUGCAAGUCGAACGGGGAUCAUCGGGCGGAAGGCUUCGGCCGGAAGGCUGGUGAUUCUAGUGGCGGACGGGUGAGUAACGCGUGAACAAUCUGUCCCAGACAGGGGGAUAACACUUGGAAACAGGUGCUAAUACCGCAUGAGACCACGGUGUCGCAUGGCACAGGGGUAAAAAGGAGUAAUCCGGUUUGGGGUGAGUUCGCGUCCGAUUAGCCAGUUGCGGGUAACGGCCCACCAAAGCGACGAUCGGUAGCCGACCUGAGAGGGUGAUCGGCCACAUUGGAACUGAGAGACGGUCCAAACUCCUACGGGAGGCAGCAGUGGGGAAUAUUGGGCAAUGGGCGAAAGCCUGACCCAGCAACGCCGCGUGAGUGAAGAAGGCCUUCGGGUUGUAAAGCUCUGUUAUAGGGGACGAAGUGCGUGACGGUACCCUAUAAGGAAGCCCCGGCUAACUACGUGCCAGCCGCAGC